rnacentral:rRNA from 1 species
UGGGGAAUUUUGGACAAUGGGGGAAACCCUGAUCCAGCCAUCCCGCGUGUGCGAUGAAGGCCUUCGGGUUGUAAAGCACUUUUGGCAGGAAAGAAACGUCGCGGGUUAAUACCCCGCGAAACUGACGGUACCUGCAGAAUAAGCACCGGCUAACUACGUGCCAGCAGCCGCGGUAAUACGUAGGGUGCAAGCGUUAAUCGGAAUUACUGGGCGUAAAGCGUGCGCAGGCGGUUCGGAAAGAAAGAUGUGAAAUCCCAGAGCUUAACUUUGGAACUGCAUUUUUAACUACCGGGCUAGAGUGUGUCAGAGGGAGGUGGAAUUCCGCGUGUAGCAGUGAAAUGCGUAGAUAUGCGGAGGAACACCGAUGGCGAAGGCAGCCUCCUGGGAUAACACUGACGCUCAUGCACGAAAAGCGUGGGGAGCAAACAGGAUUAGAUACCCUGGUAGUCCACGCCCUAAACGAUGUCAACUAGCUGUUGGGGCCUUCGGGCCUUGGUAGCGCAGCU